GCCCCCGUAGCUCAGCGGAUAGAGCGUCAGCCUCCGGAGCUGAAAGCGACGGUUCGAGUCCGUCCGGGAGCA
rnacentral:tRNA from 2 species